GACCAGGAUUUUAUAAACUUUUCCUCCAAACUGCAAUUUCUAUUUUCUUUUGCGAUGACUAAAGCAUUCAAGUCGAAAGGACAAGAUUGUCUUUCUCAAGCAAGAAUUGUUCUCCUACGUACCAGAAUGACUGGUUCAUUGGAGGAUGAGGAGCUGAGAGUCAACGGCACUCAACAAUGAGCGCGGCACUUUAAGAUGAAGAAUGUUUAUAUAGAGUGUUGCUUGUGGACUUACAGAAUAUUUGAACUGAAGGGAUGUGAGACCAUAGAGAUUUUUAAGAGUGAGCCCUACGGAAGUGUUGUGGAUGACUACAAGAGCUGCCAGUGGAGGACCUUGCUUCUGGGAGAUGGCCUUCCUUUGAUCUGGGCCUCAAGCAUAACCCAUGUGAUGCUCGAUGAUGCUCAAGGAACAAUGCUUUUUCAUUAUUCCAGAGAGCAUGCCCAGAGGCUGGUCUACUGGGGGACAUUUAAGACCCAAAAAGGUGGCCUCAUCCUUGAUUUUCAAGGACAAGAGAGUCUGUGUUCGAUUGGCAGGAGUUAA
rnacentral:lncRNA from 1 species